rnacentral:lncRNA from 1 species
UAUGAACAGACAUUUUUCCAAAGAAGAUAUACAGAUGUCCAAUAAACACAUGAAGUGAUUGUCGUGAAGGAACAUAUUUAUAGUCUCAGGCCCCUAGAAGGAGGAGGCAGGGCACACCACCCGGCCCACCAGUGAAGCACCAGUCCAGGGCACAGCACGUAGGGCUGCGCAGGAAGCACGGGGAAGGACUGGACACUCAUGCUGAGAAGCAGAGUUCUGAGAGGGCCAACUGCAGACGCACCUGGAGGGGUGCCCCCAGCACCCGACGUGCCACCCCCAUGGGGCGUGGAGCAGGGUCAGCAUCCACUAGUUCUGGUUGUCCCUCCACACAUGAGAGUUCAGCGCCACAGGAGCAACCGUGGACUCAGGAUCUGCAAGUUGGAGCGGGACGUGGGUCUGGGUUGGGGGAGCACGGCUCAGGGGGGCCCUGUGGCCCUCAGGGCUCGUGUCCUCCAGGCUUGGGGGGCUUUCACAGUGCCCAGGAUGGAAACAACCCACAGGCGUUCCACAGCUGAGCUCACAGCCCUGUUUUUUCUCAAAAGUGAGGCUAUUCCUCCCACAUAAGCUGAUCUCAGGAUGAAGCCAGACGGCCUGGGUGGAGCCCAGUUGCAGCACCCAACAUACGCUCUCCACCUCAGAGGACAGUGUUGUGGUCGGCCAAGGGCUACAGCCAGGUCAGGGAAUGCCCAGGCCAGACUAGGAAGGCCAGCUGGAGGUGGAGAUGGAGCAGGACGGUGGGCCAGAGGGUGGGGAGGAGUGAGGUAUGUGCGG